AGGCCUCUACUGACCCCCAGAUCCCGUGUAUAGAUUGGUUUUGCUGCUGUAAGGGGAAGGAGGGGAUGAAAGACACCUGACAGCAGGGUCUAGGGUCUGGGCAGCCAGGACAGAGGAAGGAAGGGGAAAAAACUCUCCCUUUCUUAAUGGGAGGAGCUCUUGGCAAAAAAAAAAAAAAAAAAAGAGAUCAUCUUAAUUCAUAAAGCUACUUUUAUUUUAUUUUUAUUAAUGUUUAUUUAUUUAUUUUGAGAAAGAGAGAGAGGCAGAGAGAGAGGGAGAGAGAGAGAAUCCCAAGCAGGCUCUGGGGCGGAUGCAGGGCUCAAUCCCACGAACCCAUGAGGUCGUGACCUGAACUGAGAUUAAGAGUUGGAUGCUCAACCGACCAAGCCACCCAGAUGCCCCAAAACUACUUUUGUUUUUAAAAAGCUGUUUUCAGAGGAACUAAUAACACCUCCCACCUCUCCACCCCCGACCCCACCCCUCCAAAACAGCAGGCCUGCCUUGCCUUCUCUCUCUGGCGAGCAUCCUACUUGCCUGGGAAAAAGAGAAAGGGUCAAGGGCAAAGGGAAUCACAGUUGCUAAAAGCCCUCAAAAAACAGUGAGACAUGUGCCCACCUGAGAGGCAUUUUCCCGAGAUGAGGCAAAGUGGGAAAGUAAAGAAUAGCAGGUCAGGGGACCAGCCAGCCGUGUGACCUUGGACAAGUCACUUACUUUGAGCCACCGUUUGCUCCUUCCCCAAAUAAGAAAAAUCUUACCUAGUGGGGGUUUCAUUCUCUUAAGCUAGUGCUCACUGAGCCUCUCGUGCAUGCCGGCCAUUAUCACAUUGAUAACGUUACUCCAUUCUCACAAGAACCCUGUGAGAAAGGAACUGUUCCUCCCUCCUGACACAGGGGACAGUGGGGCAGAGGACUGAAGUGGCCUGCCUGUGGGCAGAGGCCCGGCCAGUUAUGGAGCUGGGCUGGAGCCCUGGAGUUCUGCUCCGGAGCCCACACACGCUCUGCCACACCACAGCUGUCUCCUGAUGGGCAGAUGAGGUCAUGUACACGCAAGGCCUUCGGAAAGUUUAAAGGCUGGAGAAUGUGAGGUGUUAUUUUUGACAGUUUGGAUAGUGGAGAGGAGAGGGGCACUUUUCCUUUUUUGAGCUUCCCCAUGCAGGGUCUUCUCUGUAGACACUUGGCAGCCAGAAUUUUCUCCUCCCUUUGUUCCAGAAGCAUUGCCUUGCUUUUUGAAGCAGCAAAACCACAGAUGACCCACAGACAUCCAGGGGGCAGUUGGGGUGGAGGGUGGUGAAGCCUGGGGGCUUCCCUUCCUGGAGAAACCUGAGACAACCCUGUACUGCCUCUCCACCUCUGCCCUGACUCUGCGAAGGUCUAGGGCAAGGCCUCUCCCUGCCCCAGACUCCAGUGUCCCCAUCUGGAAUGGAGGUAAUCUGAGCAAAGCUGAGCGGCCAGGCACAAUGAGGUGGUGGACGAGGGCGGGAGGGCAGAAACCAGUGUUGGGGGUCCCUCCCUGCAAGAGCAGAGAGACAAGGGGAAACUUGUUAGUGGGCCAUCUGUGGUGCUGGGAUGCUCAUGAGGAACUUAGAGAAAAACCUUGCAACUUCUUGUAGAGGCUGGUGUUGGCCAGGGUGGGUUUGUUUCUAGGAUUUGAAACAAGGGUGCCGUGGUCACAGAUGUUGAGGAAGCUCUGGGUUAAACUGAGUUUUCUUUAGUGCUGGACUUUCUUUUUUUGUUUAUUUAUUUAUUUUUGAGAGAGCGUGCGUGCGCGUAUGUGUGCACACAAGUGGAGGAGGGGCAGGGAGAGAGAGAGACACAGAAUCCGAAGAAGGCUCCAGGCUCUGAGCUGUCAGCACAGAGCCCCACGCAGGGCUUAAAUCCACGAACCCGUGAGAUCAUGACCUUAUCUGGAAGUAGGAAGCUUAACCGACUGAGCCAGUCCCUAGUGCUGGACUUCUUAAAAUCUUUAAAAUUGUAAUGAGUCCUGUGACUCUUUAAAAGGGGGUGUUCGUGCAGCUUUACCCAAACUUGCUUGGCUUUGGAACUCCUUUCCCCCCCACAGAGCCCUCUGUGCUGCAGAGUCCACUUUGGGAAGUGCUAAUCUAAGGCAACGCUCCCAUUUCACAGAUGGGGCCAGAGGAGAAUGGGAAUCUAGGCAGCUUCUAAAAUUGGCCACUUUCCUGAAUGCCCCUCAUCCCUAGGGGGCCGAGAAUCACUCCACACCUGUUUUCAGGGAUUAGAGAAAAUGUGUCCUGUCCGGCUGCAGCUGUGGUGCAUGGAAGAAAGGACAUCUGUCCCCUCCUUUUAAGGGUGGGGGUAGUAAAUGGGGUGAGGGGAGAGGAAUGAAGAACUAGGCCCCUUGAAAGUGAGAAACCCUUUAACAGAGUAGAGGAGCAAGACAGCUAGACAGGUCACCCUGAGAACACUCUAUGCCUCCCCAAGUCUUAGCAAGGACCACUCAGGAUGCCAAGUCCCAGCCCCAAUGCCCAACCCUGCAGUUAUUAGGCCUACUCAGAAACACUAUCUUUGACCUCAGUUUCCCCAUUUGCUAAUGGCUCCUUUCUGAAAAUGAACUCGUGUCCAGUGGCUAAGUCCCCAGGGCCCCCAAGUCCACAGUGGCCUGAGCUGCUUUCCAAGGAGCUGGCACCCAUCACAGUUUCUGCAGCUGAACAGGGAGCUCAACCAGGGAGAGGAGAGAGGUCAGGGAGUGAUGCCCCCACCUAGCCCCCAGGCCCAGGCAACCCUCUCCCACCAUCCUGGUAGCUCCUAGUCCGCAUUUUCUCCCCUAAGGCAUCUCUCUUUUUGAAAAUGUCAGGCGCAGCACCAACCUGUUCAGGUUCAGGGAGUUUAUUCCUAAGGGGCUUGAGAAAGAUGACCUUUCCCACCCUCUAAAAAUGGGGAGAGGACUUAUCAUAACCCUAACUUUGCUGAGGUCACUGGGGGUGGGGCGAAUGGGAUUCCCAUGGGCCUGGAAGAGCUGGAUGGAGGGUGCAGAGAUGGAGGCCCCCUCCCCCUCCCAUUAUACAUCAUUCUGGGACUUUCUCCUCCCAGCUCUGAGCCCAGCCAAGGCAGCUGUUGUCCAGAUCCAAACAAAGACCUGAUACUUCUUCCAACCAGGCCGAGCUGGGCGGUCUGUAGAUGGGCAGGGGUUGGGGGCGGGGAGGGGGGAGAGCAGACAGAGGGGGCAAGGGGGAGCCAGGACAGGAAGAUAGUCGGCUUGUCUUGUCCUCUGGUCCAUGCCCUUUGUGCUAAGACUCAAGAUAGCCACUUCUGUGGGGCCCAGUCUGGCCCUCGGGCAGCCUCUCCCCCUCCUGUUUUGCUCCUCAGCCACAUGCCCUUGGGCUGAGCUAAGUCCAGAACCCGGCUGAGUAGGGGAAUUGUUCUGAGAAAGUGGCCCGUUGGCUGGUUGCUAUGGAAACCGACAUACCACAGUGCUGACCCCGGAGAGGUUUAGCACGCUCCCCCAGCAGGGAUGCCAGCAGCUGGACUGCAGCUGUUACAGCGUAAGUGGGGGCUGGAGCCUCCGCCAGCAGUCCCUGCUGUUUGCCUAAACUAGUCCCGGCAGCAGAUCCCCUCCAUUUGCCCCCACCCCCAGUCCUCACACAGCCUUCCCCCCUGCUCCAGCCAGGAAGGGAGCGGUUGAGUCUGCCCAGGCGCAAGGGGGUGGGGGUGCGAGAGGAAGAGUCGAGCUUGACUCCAGAGAGAGGUCUUUUAUGAAGCAGGGGGCAUCCUCCUCAUUGCAUUUCUGGGGAAACUGAGGCUCAGAGAAGAGAAGUCACUGGUGCCCAGUCACACAGCCAGGACGUGACAGAGCUUUGCUUUGCUUUGGGCUUUCCUUUCACCAACUGAGCACUCACUGUGGAGUCAUGGGCUCUGAGCAGACAGGAAGCAUCUAACCCAGCGUCGCAUCCAGACACAACCCUAGAGGGUGAGGCGACAUCAAUGAACAAAAGGUGCACCCAAAAACUAACUAUACAAAGAGAGGGGUAAGUGAAGAGGAAAUGAAGAGGGAAUUGGGAAGAGUGGGGAACAGCAGGAAAGGGAGCUGGAGAGAUAGGACAGGCAGCGAAAGUCGGAGGAGAAAGAGAGCUCAGUGAGGAGGUACCCAGAACAGGCCUAGGAGAGAUUGGUGGACAAACAAAGCCAGGCCUGCUGAGGACUCCUCAUAAAGAGGAGGGAGUGGAGAAGGGGCAAGGUGGGGGGGUGGCGGCUAGCGUUAAAAUAAGUUUCAGGGAGGCAUCUCCUGCCAUCCCAUAAUGCCUUGAGCUCCCCAAGUGGCCUAAAGCAAACACACCAACCUGCCUCCCCUCUGCAGUGUGAAGCUGCAAGACUCAGGCCGGGCUAAUCUGCACCAGGGACUCUAAACAAAUCCCCCACCCCCCCAGCCAGAGAGGAGAGAUGGCUCUCUCUGGGGUGGCCCUGACAUCAGCCAACCAUCUCUCACAGCAGCCAGAACACCAGCUGCCUUCCAUUCCCCCUGUGUGGCUGGUCUCAUACCGGGUUUGCUCUGACCCUCAUCCCCACCUCUCAAAGGUGACUUGGGCCUGCUUCCUCCUUUGCUGCCCUCGCUCAUCUAGAACUGCGGCCCAAGUCAAUGCCUUGUGAGUAGGUGGCCCUCUUCUCUCUAAAACUACAUCUCGCUGCUUCUAACGAAUGAACACCCUUUUUAAAAGUUGGUUUUGAGAGAAACCAACUAUUUCCCUCAAAUAGUUAGUUGCAGGCGACUGGAGAGCUGCUCUGGACCCUCUCACCCUCUUGAGCUGUUGGGAAGUUGCUCUCUUUACAAAGGCUUUGCUCCACAGACACAAGCCUCUGCCCAGCAGAGCUUGGGAAUGAGCCAAUAUCAUUACACUCCUUAACUGAACACCUCGCUCUGCAAUGGGCCGGCAGCUUGCUUUUGCACUUACCACCUUUUAAAGGGCAAUCUGGUAUCUCAGGUGAGCAGAUCCAACAAGGACAGCAUUGAAGCUAAUGUCCUGGUCCUCUGGCCCACCUCUCUGCUUUCUGAGCAAGACCAGCUAGUCAGUUAUGGACACUUAGCCUUGACUUGGGGGUGAGAAGCACUGGCCAAGAGUUGCCUGGAGCCUGCCCUGCCCCAGCCAGUGAGGUCAUCAAAAGGCAUUUAUUGAGGUUAAAUGGGUGAUGGACAUUAAGGAGGGCACUUGUUGGGAUGAGCACUGGGUGUCAUAUGUAAGACAUGAAUCACUGGGUUCUACUCCUGAAGCCAGGACUACAUUGUAUGUUAACUAACUUGAAUAUUAAAAAAAAAAAAAAAAAAAAGAAGCAUUUAUUGAGCAGUUGACCAUAUGCCUAGCACUGUGGGUGUGGUAAUAAGGAGAGGGCAUGUGGAAAAAGUCUUGGACAAGGGCCCCUGUCCAGAAGAAGCUUGUAGUCUUAAUGGAAGACAAGGCUGACCUACCAUGUGAAACAGAGAUAUGUUAGUGCUCAGCAACAGAGCACCCUGCGUGCAGAUACAAUAGUCCUGGAGGCACUACACUCUCCAGGGGAAGAGACACCCACGGGAGAGUCCUAUCCAUUUCUUGAGGCCAAGUGCAGGCACGCGCUUGGCAGUGAUGGGCCUACGAGCACACAGGAGGAUAAAAUCGGGCCUAUGAAACCUUGCCAAUGGUGAAACUCUAGCCAGAGCUGCCUUCCAUCUCCUUUUUGGGAAAGGCAGAUACACAAAUACCCGAGUCCCAUCCUGACGGCAAACAUCUCUUACCCUCUUGCCAGCUCUUUCAGGAUGAGAAAUGGGCCAUGAUCCAGGACCCAAGGUCUGAAUCACUCUGGGACUUGGGCACAUUUGACCUCGAUACUAAUGAGCAUUUACAGUUUCCACAAUCACUACCUCAUUUAAAUCCCCCCUACCUCCUGUGACAUGGGUGAGGAUUAUUAUUCCCAUGUUACAGAUGAGGAGAAAGAAACCCAGGGAAGUGAGAGGCUGACCUGAAGUCAUGUGUUUGAAAGCAACAAAGCCAGAAUGAACUAAGGCCUUCCGUUGUGACCAGUACCCUACCCACCAUGCAACACGGACACUCUGUUAGUUUUCCAUUUCUUACAGAAGCCGGCACCUGGUAGUUGGUCAGUAAAUAUCUCUUGAACAGCAGGAAAGCAAAAAGUUGCCCAAGUUGCCCUCAAGGCCACAGCAAGACAUGUUCAGCUGUGUCUGUAUGUGUGGCAGUGGAGGUGAUGGAGGAAGCAGCAAAAGCCCACACGAGUGCCGGCUUCCAUGGGGACGGUCACCCCAAAGCACUGAGCUGCCAUUUUGAAGAAAUGGUACCAAAGGACACUGAACUAGUUUUAAGUUGAAGUAACUUCUAAAACAUCCUUAAAGCUCCCAACCUCUGUGAACAGCAAACAUCUUUCUGACUAAAACAAAACAAAACAAAACAAAACAAAACAAAACAAAACAAAACAACAACAACAAAAAAAACCAAGGGGUACCUGGGUGCUCUGUUGGUUAAGUGUCCAACUUCGGCUCAGGUCAUGACCUCACAGUCUAUGGGUUUGAGCCCCAUGUCGGGCUCUGUGCUGACAGCUCAGAGCCUGGAGCCCGCUUCGGAUUCUGUGUCUCCCUCUCUCUCUGCCCCUCCCACACUCUCACUCUGUCUGUCUGUCUGUCUGUCUCUCUCUCUCUCAAAAAAUGAAUAAACAUUAAAAAAAAUAAAAUAAAUGAAAAAAAGAAAGUGAAAGGGGCGGGGGAUGAGGAGUGGGUUGGAGCCAUAAGCAGAGAGCAGGUUGUAUGGUAACGAGCAGAAGGAAGUCAGUGGAUAGACAACACAUGAGACCAGACAGCCCUUCAGCCUGGCUCCGCAUAGCAGAGUCCGUGGCCAAGUGCCACUCAAUCCUCUGAAACAAGGGAAGGUGGGUCUUCCCGAGGGUCCUGAGAAGAAGAGAUUGCAAGGAUGCCCUUCAGCUGGAAUAAAAGGCAAAGGGUCAAGCAGGGGAAUCCACAGGGCCAGGCUCAGUGUGGAAACAAGGGCAAAAGUCCUCAUCUGUGCAGGUGCCUGUGAGCACUGAUGCACCUAGGCAUGAGGGCCCCGGGCAUAACAGAGGGUUUUAGGGUGCCCGACAGAAAGAGAUCAAACUCCUGGUGUACAGACAGUGAUCCAGAAGCAGAGCCACAGGCUGGAACAAAAAGGUUACUUCACUGGUCACUUAUUACUGAAAUUUUUUAAAUGUUGGAGCUGGUGGAGAUUUUAGGGAUCACUUUAUAGGUGACUUGGCUCAGGGCCUAGAACACAGUAGGGUGCCCCCCCACCUAUGUUUAUUCAAUGAGUGGACACAUGAAUGAAUGGAGAGAGAAGCAGAACUCCAAAACCUCUGAUAUUCAUUAUGAUGUUCUGAAGUCCUAAGAUAUGGACCUACCUUCGGUAGGUCCCUGCGCUCGUUAAUUGCCUAUUAGGGUCAUUGUUUGAAAACCGGUGCUCCGAUGACAGUAACUCCUUGUGAAUGAGAAUUCAACCCGAUUCUGUUUGAUCGCCUUGCGUGGAGUUCCUUCCUAGCACGUGCCAGACACUGUGCAGAAGUACUUCACUGUCCCUUCCAUUCCAGACCACGAAGAAGUGGUAGUUUAGCGCUCUGACAGCUUUGCUGCUGACACUGCGGCUGAUGCUGCAGAGGGGGGCCAGGCUGCAGCAGGAGGUGGGCUGGCCCCAGGGCGAGGGACAUGUCCUCUGCAUCCCCUGGAGGCCCAGGCAACUCCUGCUUUGGACCUGGAUGACCCCUGUGGGUCCUCUCCCACCUUCCCCAGAGCCCCCCACCCCCUGGCAGCCUGCGGAGGCAGAAGGGAGGGGGUGCAAGGCUGCCACGGGGCUCCUCUCCUUGCCAUUUCCUCCGCGGCUCCCUCGCUGGCCCUGUUUUUCAGACCUCUAGUAAUAAAAACAAGCCAAUAAAAUGAACAUGAAAAUAUA
rnacentral:lncRNA from 1 species